UUCUGCGCUCCGAAACUUGGACUCUGUCCCAUUGAGAAUAUGGUUAGGAAACCAGACUGCAAGCCCCUGCCGUGGAGUAUCCACCUGCUCAGGAGAACCCGUCCCCAGGUGGGGAGGGUGCUGCUCCCACGAAUAUCACCGUGGGGCUCCAGCGCCAUCACCUGCCUCCCUGGCUUGCAAGCCAUGCUUCCUCAUGGCGGUCUACUCUUUAACAGAUGCUUGUAAGAGGAAAGAUGGUUCCUGUUUAUUCACCAGAUAGGGUUCCAGGGGUGAUGCCAAGUGCCUGAUGGAAAGACGAAUGUCAAGGAGCCUGCAGGCCACUCAGCAGCAAGGCAGGAAUGCAUCGUGGAGGCAGGACCAUGACCUCUGUUGGGGAGCAGAUGCUGGAGAACAGCUCCGACUCCUCCCAGCACUGAUGCUGCCUUCCCACGAGCACCUGUGGAUUCCUCCCAGCCUGGCUCCUGCUUUGACUGCAGGAUUUGCUCCGUCUCCUCUCCAAUGAUGCCUCCAUCUUUGCUCAGGUCUGAAUUCUCAUUACCCUUCCCUCCAGCCCCCAGCUCAGACAUGAUCUCCUUUCUGGCUUCUCCUGAGGUUUAAUAGCUGUCCGUCCUCUCCCUGCCCCAGACAUUUCCUGAUAUGACCAGGCAGAACUCCCCAGCUGCUCUUCCAGGAGAGAAGCUCUGUCAAUCCAUCAUGAUAACCUCUCAGUGUCUCGCACAGCGUGGGCUUCAAUUCAUAUAUGUGGAAAUUGGGCAAAAAUUGAGAAAGUCCCCGUGGAAAGAGUUGUCUGAGGAGGUGACAAAGGAAGGCUUAAUAUAAUAGA
rnacentral:lncRNA from 1 species